rnacentral:lncRNA from 1 species
UAGAGAGAGACAUUUAAUUUGGCGAUAAAAUAUCUAUUUGAUCCACUGAACUAGUUAAACAUUUAUUAGAAUAAAUUUCAAGAACCAUGCAUGUACUCUGAUAAAGCACAGGUAACAUUACCUCACUGCGCAAGUCUGUUCUACAAAUACACUCAGACCGCUGAGAUUGCAAAGCAGUGUGGUCAACCAAGAACCUGAGACCCUGUUUCCAAACAAGAUUUUUUGGUUAUGAAAAAUCCAUAAUUACAAACAUCUAUGCUUUUUAACAAGACCCUUACUUGAGAGGUAGCUUUACCAGAUAAAAUACAGGACGCCCAGAUGAAAAACAAGGAAUUAUUUUUUUAGUAUAAGUAUGCGCCAAAUAAAGAGUAUGCUUCUACGAAAGAAAUUCGUCUUUUGCUACCUGAAAUAUUAAUUACACUGGGGGUCUUGUAUUGUUAUUUCCCAAAUCUGGCAAUCCUAUUUACAAGUGAUACUUCAUAAGCAACAAAAGUCAUUUGAAAAAGUACACAAAAGUAAUUCUGCCCAAGAAGAUUACUUUCCACACCUGCAAAGGUCAUAGAAGUGGGAGGGAAUGUGAAAAGAACAGACCUGAGUGGCGGCAGCUGGGGAGCACGCAUGCGCUCUCCCGGCUCUUGCCCACGCUCUCCCACGCAGGCCCACGCUCUCCCACGCAGGCCCGCGCUCUCCCGCGCUCUCCUGCGCUCCCCCACUUGUCCUGCAGACAGUUCUGCGAGGUCCAUAGGGUGUCUUGCUGUGAGCCUGGGUUCCUGCUCCCGGUUAGGGGUAAGUAUCUCCAAAACUGGAACGCUGCAAUACUUGCUAAGAAAUGCUUUCUUUAUGGUGCGCCAGGAUAUCUAGCGAGAAAUUCCGUAAAGGUACAGCCAUGCAGCCCAAUUGCUGCCUGUGUGGGUUUAGAUCUUGCUGGAAAGAAGCAGUGGACCCCCCUUAUUUGUUAACUGGGCCAAUGGAAAUAAUUUAACAGUCUGCUGAAUAUAAUGGCUAUGGGGGAGACCUGUUUUUUGGGUAUUAUAGAAUUGUCAAAGAGGAAACCCAAGAAGAAAACGUGAAGAGAGUUGAAUUUCUAAGAAUGUAAUUAAUCCAUUUCAAAGUACAAAGUAAAGUGGAUAGUUUUUAAAGAAAAUUUUUCUUUCGCAAGCUGAAUUUAUUGCUCUGUAUUUAACGCUAUAUUAAGUUUAAAAAGGUAGUAUAGUGUGAGGGAAUAUGCACACAUAUACAUUAAACCUUUCUAAUCUGAAAAAAAAGUUACUUAUUUUGGUCCUAUCGCUUUGAGUUUGUUUUAAAAGGUAUCCAGUUGAAAAAUCAGUUGUUUUGAACGAAAACGGUCUAUCAAACAGGUGAUACUGAUUUAUUUUCACUUUCACCUGGCUUUGCUUGCUACAUAACUAUAAGAAGUUGCUAAUUAAUGUUGGUAAAUAUUUUUGUGACUUUAUUCUGUCGGUAUGCCUUUCCAAGAGAAAGUAGAUUUAAUUCCACCAUGUAUUGGGGGCUAAAUUUUACCAGUACUGCUUAUGUAUAUAGUAAUUGUUUUCUAAGCCUGUUUUAUGUUAACAAUUUACAUCUUGAAUUAGCUUUAUUGUAGUAUAAAGGUAUUUAUUAUUUCUGUUGCCGAGUUGGUUAUACUUUAUUUUUAGACAUAAUUUUAAAUUCAUUAUAAAUAUUGAAGAAAUGAGUACCUAUUUUGAAGAUGGCCAUUUUUUUUUUAAUUCCGACGACUGAAUGGAAUCAUUAUUGGGCUAUGAUACCUAGUGAAUUACCUUUAUAAAAAAAUACAUUUGGGAAAUAGACAGUGCUACUAUCCAAGAUAGUUAUGGUGACUAAUUAGCAUCUUACCUAGAUUUACAAUACUGUUAACCCUGUAAAAUAAUUUUUGUAAAAUAGGUCACAAACUGGGUCUACCUGAGUCUUAAGUAUAAGUCUCAUGUUUUGUGGGUUUGUAUUGCAACUCUAAACUAAAACAAAACCUACUGUCAAAGUAAAAUAACACAGCAUGGACAACUUUGUAGGGCGACAUUGUUUCACCUUUGUUUUUUUGCUUAGAUCUUCAUCCAGAGCUGACUGCUUAACUUGGACCUUUCGCCCUGGUCUUAGUAACUGCAUUUCCCUCUUAUUACUGAGAACACCUGUUUGUUCCCUCCAUGUCUGUGAUUCUAUCCCUUUCUGGUUCUCUCAUACACCUGGUUCUGAACAUUUUUCUGGUGAAUGCAGAUAUGACCCCUCCUCUCCUGGUGAUUGAUAUUGUGACCCCCAACCUUAAGCUUUGGAAUCCUUAGAAUUUCUUUGUAUGUAAGUGAUGCUUGGGGAGCUGUUUGAAUAUGGGGGGGAGCAACUUGCCUUGAAGAGUGGGAGUCUCUCGGUUUUUACUUAAAUUGUAUAUUUAUUUGGGAUGGCUGGAGAAUAGCUAUAGAAAUUCUUUUUUUUAAAUUUUUUAUUGGAAUAUAGUUGACUUAGGGUGUUGUAUUAGUUUCAGGUGUACAGCAAACUGAAUCAGUUAUACAUAUAUCUAUUCUUUUUUCCCAUAUAGGUAUACUUGAUUUACAGUGUUGGGUUAAUUUCUUCUGUACAGCAAAGUGACCCAGUCAUACAUAUACAUAUAUAUAUAUUUUUUUUCUCAUACUGUCUCCCAUCAUGUUCUGUCGCAGGAGAUUGAAUAUAGUUCUCUGAGCUAUACAGUAGGACCUCAUUGCUUAUCCAUUCUAAAUGUAAUAAUUAUUUUAUACAGUAGUAUGUAUAUGAUAUUCCCUUCCUCCUAAUUCCUUUCUCCCCUCCAUAGUUUCCCAUAUAGUAACCAUACUUUUUGGACUUGAAAUCUGUGAGUUUGUUUCUGUUUUAUAAAUAAGUUCUUUUGUAUCAUUUUUAUUAGAUUCCACAUAUAGGUGAUAUCAUAUGAUAUUUGUCUUUCUCUGACUUACUUAGUAUGACAAUCUCUAGAUCCAUCUGUGUUGCUGAAAAUGGCAUUUUUUAUGGCUGAUUAAAUUCCAUUAUAUGUAUGUACCAUAUCUUCUUGAUCCAUUCCUCAGCCAGUGGACAUUUAGGUUUCGUCCAUGUAUUGGCUGUUGUAAAUAGCACUGCAGUGAACAUUGGAGUGUGUAUCUUUUCAAAUUAUGGUUGUCGCUGGAUAUAUUCCCAUGAGUGGAAUUUCUGGAUCAUAUGGUAGUUCUAUAUUUAGUUUUUUGAGAAACCUCCAUAUUGUUCUCCAUAGUGGUUGCACUAGCUUAGAUUCCCAGCAGCAGUGUAAGAGGUCCCUUUUUUUCAAACCCUUUUCAACAUUUACUGUUUGUAGCCUUUUUGAUGAUGGCCAUUCUGACUGGUGUGAGGUGGUACCUCAUUGUAGUUUUGACUUGCAUUUCUUAAGUGUGCAUUGGAUGAUUGACUUAAUGUCAUAAAUCCCUAGUCCUAGAUUUCAAAUGGUCAAAUAGUGCAUUCUUGGAGUUCACUAUUUCUUCUAGUUGAAGGUCUCUUCGUCAAAUGCUUGCUUUGGAAACUGCUUAUUGUCUGUCAUGAUAUCCUUUGAUUACCAAGGUCUCUUCAAUAUACUGCAUGGUAUGGUCAUGAAAUUAGUUCUAAAACAUUUCUGGAACUGAAGUUCUUCAUGUUAUAUGAGUGAACUGGUUACUUAACUUCCCUGUGCCUGUUUUGCGUUUUUAUAAAAUGAAGAUAAUCAUAAUAUUCAUUCUUUCUCACAGUUGGUAAGAGGAUUAAGUGAGGAAACGUAAGUGCUUGACACAUACUUGACAAUCAGGAAACACUCAUAAAAAUUACCUUCCUGUAUUAUGUGGAACAAAGAUGGACUUUGUCCAACACACUUUAUCUGUGUUGUAGAUAAAUAUAUAUUCAUAAUGCUGAAUCAUUUAUUCAACAAACUGUUCUUAAGUGCUCCUUUAUUCCAGGCUUCUGAAAGUGAGCUAGCCCAGGCAUUUAUUAGAAACAGUAAUAGGGAAUAUGACGUGUUAGAAUUAAGGAUGGCUGGAAGUGUAAAGGAGAUGGUUGUGGGUAAAGUGACAUAACUAAAAAUAUAGCCCCAAAAGUUACAGAGAAUGGAAAAAUAGCAAUGAGUUAAUUUUAGUGCAGGGAAUUAAAAGGUGAGCUUGGAGACAUUAUUGAUGCUAGAAAUGACUUGACUUUCAGAGACUUGUAGUAAUACGGACCUGAUGGAUUGUCAGUAUUGAGGCUGCAAAGAACAAAUAGCUUUAUUUGGGCUCUUAAGAAUUGUAGUUCAGGACAUGCAGAGUCAGGUAAAACCAAAUGAGUGUUCUGGGGAACAGGAAAAGUCAGGGGCUUAUGAAGACAAAAGCCACAAGGUUGUCAAAGUUGCCUGGUAGGAAUUAUGAUUGACUUUGGCGCAAGUUAGGAAAAAUUUGUCCUUAAGGUAUUGCAAGUUAUUUUAUGGUUAAGAUCUGAUAAGUAUCUUGAGUAGGACAUUGGGUGCUCACAUGCUCAGAUUCCAUCUAGGCUGACAGGUGCACAUGUUAUACUUCCUCCAUGGCCUCCUGGCUCCAUUUUAUAGAACUCUCUUAAUACCGACUUCAUUUUGAUUUUUCCUUUUACAUUUCUCCCUUUUGAUUGAGAUUUUUCUUGGGAAAGCAUCUUUGAUCAACCAUUUGGUUAUAUGUCAUUAACAUCGACUUACUUGGUGCUGGGAAGUCUCAUUCUCAGAGAGUCAUGUUCCACGGAGGAGAGAAAGAGGUGAUUGCAGGGGAGGUAUGCUUUUAGAGAGUUUAUGGCCCUGUUGAAGCAACAAGGAGCCAUCUAGGAAGUGAAUCUUAGGUGAUGUUCAAGAUAUAAGUUCCUGGAUCUUCAUUAGGAGAUCUUCAUAUAGGGAUGGUCAGUCAUUUCCAGACGUCAAGUUGUCAUUAUUCCUGUGAAGGGUGUCAUAGUAUAUAGUAGUGAGAGAUACAAGGCAUAAACAGUUUAAAAAUAACAAAGAAAGAACAAAUUAUAGCAAUGAUUAGUAUAACUCGUUGCAGUUGGGAUCACAAUAAGAUAACAGAUCCAGAGGGGGGCAGCUGAAGAUUUCUACAUGUCAGGGUCACAGCAUCUUUUGCAGUUCGAAAUGUCUCUGAUGAUGUCACUGGAAGUUUAGGUGAACUUUCUGAGUGGCUCAUAAAGCAGCAGGGAUGAAAUUUUUUAAGUGAGCUGUCACAGUGAUUUCUCUGAAGUUUGUAUCAAGUCGUCCAAUUUUAGCUUGCAUGGCUUUGGAAAAAUGGCAGUUGAAGUUUUCCAUGAUUCCAAGUCAAAAGGAUGGGAGAUAAACUGGAAACAUUAGUUUGGAGAGUCAUGGCCAAAUAGUGGAGGAAACUAGAAGAAUUCAGGUUCUAGUCAAAUUUAGAGGUGAAUACCAAAACCUCAAAGAGAGUUAAUAGCACUAGAAUCUAAUAUCCACGGAGGUAUAUUACUGAAACAUUUUUCUCUCUAAAAUCAUCCUCAUUUCUACAAAAGAGAGCCAAAUAAAGACAUUUGUUUUCAAAAUGUCUAGUUUCAAUAAACUUAGACUGAUUGUUUACUUAAGUGUAAUAACAAUCUUGUAGGCUCUUUUGAAUCUGCUUUGCUGGAACUUUUUAUAAAGAAUCACAGAUUAAACUUUUAAAGGUCUCUUGAGGCCAGGAAAGCCAGUCCAAGGACUUGAUAAUAGACUUCACCUGCAGUACCUAUAGAGGAGUUGGGUGAAAUUCCUCUCUUGUUGAGUUCCCCAAAUAACUUUAGAUUCCUGUACUUGCCUGGAAAUGACCUUCAUCCCUCACCUGGUAAGGUGGUUGGGAACCCUGUGAACAAGGUACUGGGUGGAUUUUUCAAAGAUCUUUUUGGCUUUAUAAAGUCAACCUGUCUGGUUAUAUCUGAGAGGCAUGUCUCUCCCAAAUAGGACAUUGCAGUCAAAGCCUUGGUAAGAUAAGCAUUGUUUCCAGUUAUAAGAACUUACUCUUAUUGAACUUAUGCAAAUAACCAUAUUAC